GGUUGUGGCUUAGUGGUAAAGGGCUUGCCUAGCAUGCAUGAGGCACUGGGUUCGAUCCCCAGCACCA
rnacentral:tRNA from 1 species